UGGAUGUGACAGAGGAAGAGAUGGAGGUGGACAUGGAAGAGCACAUUGAGGAGAUGGAGAUUGAUAUGGAAGAUGAGGAGGAGGACAUGGUGUUGGGAUGAAGACCCAUGCCAGCAGCAGAACAGGCAGGACUGAGGCACAUCCCGGACACAGAUGCCACCCUGCUGUAUAUAUGUUUUACAGUUGUUGUGUUCAGAUAGAUGUUUUAGUGUUUGCUGUAGUGUUCUGUAAAUAUGUUUCAUGUAGUUUUGUUAGAUAUGUUCUUAGGUAAAUAGGUUCUAUAGUUU